UAGUCGAUUAUAGCCCGUUGUGUACGAAACAUUGGAAAACUAAGAGUCGAGAGGGUACCAGCCAAUAAACGGAUCGGAUGGCGCGAGAAACAAACGACGAUAUUCCACGUCGAAGUUAGAGAGUACGUAAUUAAUUCGUAAUCAUAUUUACCCGUACGAAUAACGUCCCUGCCUCGGUACAACUUCGUAGAGAUUAACGUAAAAAUAUACAUACUGGAAUUAUCAUUUAGCGGCGUCUCCUUAGCAUCUUCUAGCGUUUCCUACAGCUGCAGAUCGUGGUCUAAAUAUAAAUCAAUAUUUAAACGCCUCCGCCAUGGAACCGUUACAGAAGCUACGAGCUGUAACCGAUCGAGUUCGAGACUCCGCCGCGAAAUACUGUGCAUUUCGGAAAAAAUAAAUAUGGACGCCGGGAAUAACCUCAAAAAUGCGGGCUCCCUAAAUAGCCUCCAUAAAAAACGUCAGCGGCGAGUGUGUCGGACUGUUUUCACGAGCGAAAUCAUUAUACGUCACGGCACAGUUGUCUCGGUAAUGUCGCGGAGGCAUAUUCCAAGAUAAAUUACGGUGGAGAACGAGCUCGGCCGGAUGAUUUACAGGAAAAAGGUGUUCCGAGCGUAAUGGUCCACCUCAUGGCGUGUCCGGUAAUAGAAGCACGCGAUUUUCGCGAUUUUGUUUCGGUGACUGACGUCUAGAUGUCAAUGGCAUAAACCGCGGCUCGUGUCGCCACUCGCAUUGUCUGUAUUUCAAAUUAGAAACGGCAGGACGUAAAGCGUUCGACUUAACGUUAUGUCAACAUUCGUCCACGCGGGACACAUUUCAUUUACCGAACAACUCAAUGAGAGAAGCUGACUGCCCGAGCAACCCUUUUCAACAUUUCCAUCAACGGGAUACCUAAGGAAAUCAACUGGCCGAGUCUCCUCGGUCACGUGACGAUUCCAACGUCCCAUCAUAAUAAACAAAGGAAAGAACUUACGGUCGACAGGAUCACCUGGCAGAACGUGACACUACUCGUUGCACCCGCGGAUCCCGUCACAUCACAGUCUCCGCGAUCACACGACCGGCGAGCACCGGGAGACAAAGACCUCCGCUACGCCAGGCCCGCUGGACUGACGCGUUUUAAAACGAUUCCUCGUGUUAACUUGCGCUCUUUUUGUUUAUCAGGUAGAGCCGGGCGGCCAUGCACGAGGACAGUCGACCGAUCGGCGUACACCUGGAUGACACCUGGAGAACUCGUUCCCGUUCGACGGUCUCGCUGGGCCCGCCUUUUGUGUUCACCUCGCGAGCGUAAACCUACGUGGUCUUCUGUGCACACGCCACGGUGUAAUACACGAAACUGCCGGCUUAAAGGAACUCUCUGUGCCGUAGAAAGAAGGUGGUGGAGGAGACGAGGAAGGCGUCCAAUGGCGUGACAGAGACGGAGAAACGGCCCAUUCCCUACGUCUGUCUCUCGCCACUGUGUGCGACCCGCCGUGUUUACGUGCACGUAUACACGGCGAGGCUGCCCGUUUUCGUUGUGCGCGCACGAGACCGUAGAACGGCCGUGCAUCAACGGCCGGCCACGGGAGAAACCAUCUUUUUCGGGAAUUUCAAAAUCUCGGGGAACCCGCUGACCACCAUUGUUCCCGCGAGCACGCGCCGCCACAGAUGGCGUUGACGCGAACGAUUUUCAGGUCCGCCGUGUCGAAAUCCUGGCGAAAUUAGACACGUGUCGACGGAGGCCUUCUCCGAGGGACUAGUAUCGGUUUGCAGAAUAAAUUAACAUUUCAAUGAAUUUUUAAUUGCCUGCAAGUGCACCGAGGGUUCACCUUCGGUGUACGCUUUUCAUGGUACACUGCGAUAGACGAGAGUAUUCCUACUGAUUCCCUUGAAUUCUGGGGAUCCGUGAAAUGAUUUUUGUUUAUCGCUAGUUGUAAUGGACGUGUCCCUUAAUGCUACACGUGUAAUCGUAUUGUUUACUAGCAGUAAUAAUUCGUUGCGAGUUAAGAAGUACACCUUUCUUCAACAGGCACUUCGAUUUCCGUUUAUGGAAACGUUUGUACUCGAAGCACGUAGGAAGUUGCGUAUGCGGGUGAUUAUGUUUAUUGGUUCUCGCGACGUAAGUCAAUUUGUCGGAAAAGUUUCGACACCACGAGCCGGAGAGAAUGGUAUUGCUACACUGUUGAUUCUGAGGCUACAUAUUCUUAUAAAUUUCACAGGUUGAAGUCGUGCGUAAUCCAUGAAAUUGCUGCUGUCACGGGAGUCGUUGCACACGAACGAUUUUUAUAAUUACUGUAAAUUGCCCAAUCGGUAUCAAGCGAACAAGGGAAAAGAAACCUAUGAGAUCUCGUGGAGCGCAGAAAGGAAACGUUUCGUAGAUCAGGAUGAAAGCACCAGGAUACCCAACUUUGUUCUUCGGUAGAUUCAUUGAACCCUUGGAAUCGUUGCAAGAAUUCGAUCAAUCUUAAAUCGCCGAGGGAUCUUCCCGAAAAAAUCAAACUUCGAAUGUUGAAGGUUUCCCAGGAAACCACUAAGCCGAUGAGUGUUUAGAUAAGAAGGCUGCAGCAUCGCAAAGUUCGAAGAACUGCAGACGCCUUUUAACGACGCCGGUUGCGGUAAUCGACCGGAAAACUGUAACUUCACAUUAGGAAGCCACAAUGUGCAGUCUUCCUGCGUCCCUUAUGUACAGUAAUUUACUUAUACUCAAUUCCGCGGGGGGAAUAUAUACCCGCUGCGAGUAGCGUCGACGUUAAACGGCCCGCUUUAAUGUCAAAACGCGCGAUAGCAAUGGCGAACCUACGUACCCGUUCUGCGAUUGCAUAGCCGAUUCCUGGAAAUUCGACCAGGUCUGCUUUCUAGAGACCGAGCGAACCUGAAAGCCUCUAACCCGCGCCAAACCGAAGCAAAUCUUCAUUACGUCACGGUUACCUUCCUCGAGCAUCAUUUAUUUAUGAAAAGUACGCGACUUGCAACACGACCCCUGGCGCUAAACCGGUAUUAAGGCUGCAUGGGCAGGCUGCAUCGUCUACACACGGCUUAAUGUCAGCCGAGCAAGUUGGCACGAAAUACGAUAAAUGCCACUUUCGCCCUGGAAUAACCUACGGCUCCGAGAUAUUUGCGGGCUGGAUUUCUUUCUGCGACGUCAGGGAUUGAUCGAAGGUAAUUCGUCGAUGCCAGAAGGGCGGGGACCGUUUCUAACCGGCGCGCCGCCGCUUACCGAUAUCACGAAGGCGUCGAGUAAUUCCCAGCUUUCACGGAACCGUCGUGCCGACGAGGCCCGAGGAUCCCGCCGCGGCAAGAAGAACAUCCGGUCUCUCCACGGUUAAUCCCGCGACGACUGCGGCCGCCCGGGAAUCCUGCGAAGAAGCACCUCGGCGUUUAGCAAUUUUUUCGUCGAAUGCUCGUCCGCUAAUUCGCCGUGCAAUUUAUUACACGAUUCUAUAAAACGUUCCCGUUCUAACACGCGAGCUUAAAGAGCGGCACGAUUACUAUUCCACGCCCACUCCAUCUUGUCUUACGACAAGUACCGCUACCGUAGUUUAGUAACCGUUAGCCAGACAACGCUCGAGCCGUGACUACUGAUCAAAGUCGCGGGGCCGUCAAUCGGGCCCUCGUUCCUCGAUCAGUCCCAGUCCCAGUCUGAGCCAAGUGCAUUCGAAAAACAGAUCCGAUCUCGACGGCCGACUACGACUCCCCCCUGGUCUGCUGUAGAUCGGAGCG